UUUUUUUGUCUUUUUGUGUUUAAAAACAAUGUGACAAAUUGAUACCAUGUUCCACAUGAAAACGUGACAUUUUCCCCUUUAUUUAUUUAUUUUUAUAUAUUUUUUUAUGAAUGUUUGGAUCGAGUUGUGUUUCAUUUGUUUUCCCCACCCCCUUGUUCUGGCCCAUUUCUAUGUUAACUAAUCUCCUUCGGUCCAGUUUUCUAGCAUGCACCCUCUUAUUUCUUUUCUUUAAUAUUUGUUUAUUGUUCUUUUUAUUUUUUAUUUAAAUACUUCAUUUUUC
rnacentral:lncRNA from 1 species